rnacentral:rRNA from 1 species
GUAGGGAAUAUUGGGCAAUGGUCGGAAGACUGACCCAGCCAUGCCGCGUGCAGGAAGACGGCCCUCUGGGUUGUAAACUGCUUUUAUCUGGGAAGAAAAAGGCCAUGCGUGGCAAAUUGCCGGUACCAGAUGAAUAAGCACCGGCUAACUCCGUGCCAGCAGCCGCGGUAAUACGGAGGGUGCGAGCGUUGUCCGGAUUUAUUGGGUUUAAAGGGUGCGUAGGCGGCUGAUUAAGUCAGCGGUGAAAGACUUCGGCUUAACCGGAGCAGUGCCGUUGAUACUGGUUGGCUUGAGUGUAGGAGGGGUACAUGGAAUUGAUGGUGUAGCGGUGAAAUGCAUAGAUACCAUCAGGAACACCGAUAGCGAAGGCAUUGUACUGGCCGACAACUGACGCUGAUGCACGAAAGUGUGGGGAUCGAACAGGAUUAGAUACCCCUGUAGUCC